GCAAACAGGCUGUGUUUUACCACUGCAGGAAAAUGGCACAUGUAUUUAUUUUUCUUACACUCUGUUUUAUAACUUGUGCUCAGUGUCAGAUUACAUUGAUUCAGUCUGGAAAUGGACUUGUAAAACCAACAGAAUCUCUUAAACUCACCUGUAAAGUUAAUGGAUAUACCAUAAACAGUGGUGCAUGGUGGAACUGGGUAAGACAGCCAACUGGUAAAGGACUGGAGUGGUUGGGAGUUAUCAAAAAUGAUGGAAGCACAGUAUACAAUUCUGCUCUGAAGAACAGAGUGACAAUCACCUGGGACAUUUCUGAAAAUACGUUUUAUCUGCAGCUGAACAACAUGAGUCCAGACGACUCUGCCACAUAUUAUUCUGCUCGGCACACUGUGAAGAAAUCAUGCUAUAUCUGUCAAUUAACAUCUACACAUCGUUUCCUUGGAGGAACAAGUACUUCCUGGAUAGAUUUGACAGAUAACGUAUCCCGGUGA